AACGAACGCUGGCGGCAUGCCUAACACAUGCAAGUCGAACGAGACCUUCGGGUCUAGUGGCGCACGGGUGCGUAACGCGUGGGAAGCUGCACUUAUGUUCGGAAUAACUCUCUGAAAGGGGUGCUAAUGUAGGAUAAUUUCUUCGGACCCAAGAUUUAUCGCCUUUGGAUGGGCCCGCGUUGGAUGCGCUAGUUGGUAGGGUAAAAGCCUACCAAGGCGGCGAUAGAUAGCUGGUCUGUGAGGAUGAUCCGCCACACUGGGGAUGGGACACGGCCCGGACUACUGGGCAAGGCAGCAGUGCUGAAUAUUGGACAACGGGCGAGAGCCUGAUGCAGUAAUGCCGCGUGAGUCAUUAAGUCCUGAAGGUUGUAAAGCACUUUUACACGCUAUUCUAAUGACAGUACCGAAAGAAUAAGCACCGGCUAACUCCGUG
rnacentral:rRNA from 1 species